GUGGGGAAUCUUGCACAAUGGGGGAAACCCUGAUGCAGCGACGCCGCGUGAGCGAUGAAGGCUUUCGAGUCGUAAAGCUCUGUCCUAUGGGAAGAUAAUGACGUUACCAUAGGAGGAAGCCCCGGCUAACUACGUGCCAGCAGCCGCGGUAAUACGUAGGGGGCUAGCGUUGUCCGGAAUCACUGGGCGUAAAGGGUUCGCAGGCGGUCAAGCAAGUCAGGUGUAAAAGGCAAGGGCUCAACCCUUGUAAGCACUUGAAACUGUUUGACUUGAGUGAAGGAGAGGUAAGUGGAAUUCCUAGUGUAGCGGUGGAAUGCGUAGAUAUUAGGAGGAAUACCAGUGGCGAAGGCGACUUACUGGACUUCAACUGACGCUGAGGAACGAAAGCAUGGGGAGCAAACAGGA
rnacentral:rRNA from 1 species